rnacentral:rRNA from 1 species
GAUGAACGCUGGCGGCGUGCCUAAUACAUGCAAGUCGAGCGAACAGACGAGGAGCUUGCCCCUCUGACGUUAGCGGCGGACGGGUGAGUAACACGUGGAUAACCUACCUAUAAGACUGGGAUAACUUCGGGAAACCGGAGCUAAUACCGGAUAAUAUAUUGAACCGCAUGGUUCAAUAGUGAAAGACGGUUUUGCUGUCACUUAUAGAUGGAUCCGCGCCGCAUUAGCUAGUUGGUAAGGUAACGGCUUACCAAGGCAACGAUGCGUAGCCGACCUGAGAGAGUGAUCGGCCACACUGGAACUGAGACACGGUCCAGACUCCUACGGGAGGCAGCAGUAGGGAAUCUUCCGCAAUGGGCGAAAGCCUGACGGAGCAACGCCGCGUGAGUGAUGAAGGUCUUCGGAUCGUAAAACUCUGUUAUUAGGGAAGAACAAAUGUGUAAGUAACUAUGCACGUCUUGACGGUACCUAAUCAGAAAGCCACGGCUAACUACGUG